rnacentral:lncRNA from 1 species
GCAUUAGCAGCAGCCUGUUCGUUUGCAAAUUCAAUAAGAAAGGCUUUCCAAUCUAAAUACUGCCCAGGUGAAAAGCAUGCCUUCACCAAGCCUGCCUAAUCGGAAGGCGUCAUGCAGUGUCUAUUCAAGGCCUCUACCUCAGCCACAGUAUAGAAAGCACUCAGGCCGUAUGUCCGCACGGACUCAGCCAAAUUCUUAAUUACCUUGAAAUCCAGAGGCUCAUGAUAUCUCUGCCCUGUUUGGUCAGUGAAAACAGGACAUCCUAGCAAGGAGAGCCUAACUUCUUUCCAGACCUCCGGGCAGAAGGUCCGCCCAUAACCGGCUGACGAGGAGGCAUACAGAGGUGGAGCAAAAGCUAAUUCGACUUCCUCCUCCACCUCAGCACUUUUACUUUGUCCUUUCUGUCCAACUGAUAACACUGUGUCUCCUUUCUUUUUCCUUUUUCUUUUUAAGCCCUUCUCCUCUUCCGACAUACUUUCUUGUUGCUCUAUAAGGAUUUUCUGACCUAUCUUGACUGCCUCUACACACAAUUUCAAACAGUAACAGAGUCCAUAUGUCAGAACAAAUAAGACCAAAACUAUCAGACCUACCCACAAAGGGUCAAUGGGAGAAAAAAGCAUAACUACUCAGCGAGGAUCUCUUGAUCACUACACUGAGGUUAUCAUAGUUCCUUAACUUGUCCCCAAACCGGGAACCUUAACUUGUCCCAAAGCAGGGAACCUUUCGCUACCUUGUGCCUGCUUCCUGGCAACUUUAUGCUUGCCUCUAUUUUAUCCAAGGUCCUUCCCAAAUUCCUGGGUUACUUUGUGUCUACUUCCUGGCAACUUUAUGCUCACCUCUAUUUUAUCCGAGUUCCUUCCCAAACUCCUGGGGUCGCAAGUUUCACUCACCGUGAACUUACCCUGCUGGCAACCACUGACUGCUGAAAGUUCUGAACUCGGUGGGGGAGUCGGUUCCCUGUAUGGGCCACCAAUUGUCGCGCCCGCUCUCGACCAGCAAGAAAGACGCGACCACCAGUCAUUCUAACAGCAGUUUAUUCAGUCCUGAUUCUUCUUGUUUAUAUCUCCCCCGAACCCUGGGCCUCUCACUCCUUUUAUACUCUCUCUCAUCCACGCACAGCAGGCCACGCCCCCUCGCCAGUCACGAGGCUUCAGCUAAUCAGGGCAGCAGGGGCAAAUCUCCACCAAAUUGAAUUCACCUGUAUCCUGGUACACCUGCGCAGCACUCAAGAUGUUUGUGUCUUAUAUGAGGAAGUCAGGUGCAAGUCAUAUGACUUAGCUGCAGUCCCUGGCGCCUUUGGGACUGCCACCACACCCGCUCCCCACACAUCUAUGGUAAUUGAAAGUUUGGCUGGGUGUAGAAGCCUGGGUUGGUAUUUGUGUUCUCUUAGUGUCUGUAUAACAUCUGCCCAGGCUCUUCUGGCUUUCAUAAUCUCUGGAAAAAAUCUGGUAUAAUUCUGAUAGGCUAGCCUUUAUAUGUUACUUGACCUUUUUUCCCUU